rnacentral:snRNA from 1 species
UUGUUUCAGCAGCAUACAUGCUAAAAUUGGAAUGAUAAAGAGAAGGUUAAUAAGGCCCUUACAUAAGGAUGACAUGAAACAUUCCAUAAUUUCUU